rnacentral:rRNA from 1 species
AGGGGGGGGGUGGCUAUACAUGCAAGUCGAGCGAGCUUGCCUAGAUGAUUUUAGUGCUUGCACUAAAUGAAACUACAUACAAGCGAGCGGCGGACGGGUGAGUAACACGUGGGUAACCUGCCCAAGAGACUGGGAUAACACCUGGAAACAGAUGCUAAUACCGGAUAACAACACUAGACGCAUGUCUAGAGUUUGAAAGAUGGUUCUGCUAUCACUCUUGGAUGGACCUGCGGUGCAUUAGCUAGUUGGUAAGGUAACGGCUUACCAAGGCAAUGAUGCAUAGCCGAGUUGAGAGACUGAUCGGCCACAUUGGGACUGAGACACGGCCCAAACUCCUACGGGAGGCAGCAGUAGGGAAUCUUCCACAAUGGACGAAAGUCUGAUGGAGCAACGCCGCGUGAGUGAAGAAGGGUUUCGGCUCGUAAAGCUCUGUUGGUAGUGAAGAAAGAUAGAGGUAGUAACUGGCCUUUAUUUGACGGUAAUUACUUAGAAAGUCACGGCUAACUACGUGCCAGCAGCCGCGGUAAUACGUAGGUGGCAAGCGUUGUCCGGAUUUAUUGGGCGUAAAGCGAGUGCAGGCGGUUCAAUAAGUCUGAUGUGAAAGCCUUCGGCUCAACCGGAGAAUUGCAUCAGAAACUGUUGAACUUGAGUGCAGAAGAGGAGAGUGGAACUCCAUGUGUAGCGGUGGAAUGCGUAGAUAUAUGGAAGAACACCAGUGGCGAAGGCGGCUCUCUGGUCUGCAACUGACGCUGAGGCUCGAAAGCAUGGGUAGCGAACAGGAUUAGAUACCCUGGUAGUCCAUGCCGUAAACGAUGAGUGCUAAGUGUUGGGAGGUUUCCGCCUCUCAGUG